AAUAGAUGACGCUAUUGACUUUUUUUUUCACAUGUUUGACCAUUCGUCUUAUUCAGAAAAUUUACAUAAUUAUAAUUUAUUUUGCUAUGAGUUGUUUUAUCACUUAUAGUACUUUAAGUGUGAUUUAUAUCUUAUACAUUCGCAUAAAAUUUUUGAAUAAGAUGAAUGGUCAAACAUGUAAGAAAAAGUCAACGGCGUCAUCUAUU
rfam:Oryza glaberrima chromosome 1 Oglab01_0227_3, whole genome shotgun sequence.